CGGGCCAGAUGGCUGCGGGAGAACCGCCCUUGCCCUGGGGACGGCGCGCAGCUGGACCCCGGCGUCGCUUUGCUGAGCACCUCCCGGUGGCCGAGGGCGCGGCCGAAUCUCUAGUCCUGGCCGCAGCAUUCUUUGAGGUUUUCAGCCACCAAGCAUUUUUACCAUUCCAACCUAAAGAAACGGGGGAGACAUGAGAUGCAUUAGGAUCCAGAAGGCCUACAGCAUUGCAAGAACCAAGUGACAUAAUGUAGAUGAAUCAAUGCUUUACAAAAACAAAUCACUCCACUUCGAACAGUGCUGUUUAGAGCCACCUGAGAAGCAACUUCACCUGAGAAGCGGGGACAACACUGACCGUCGGGAAGUCUGAGCCCUUUUCCUGACGGAUGACUAACGUACGAGGACCACUGGACUGAGGCAGAGGGCAGUGCUGGCCCUGGGCAGAGGGUCUUGGGGUCUAUGAAAAAGCAGGCUAGGCCAGCCAGUAAGCGGUUUUCCUCCAUGGCCUGUGUUUCCUGCCUCUACAUUCCAUCCUGGAGUUCCUGCCCUGACUUCUCUUCGCAGUACUGUAACUGAAGGAUGAAACAAACCCUCUCUUCCCCAAGUUGCUAUUGGUCACGGUACUCAUCACAGCCACAGAAACCUAACUAAAACACUGACCUAGUUCACUUGGGAAAUAGUCCAACGUUUCA